rnacentral:rRNA from 1 species
GGGACCGGACUGCUAUCGGAUUGAUACUAAGCCAUGCGAGUCAUUGUAGCAAUACAAGGCAUACGGCUCAGUAACGCGUAGUCAACCUAACCUAUGGACGGGAAUAACCUCGGGAAACUGAGAAUAAUGCCCGAUAGAACAUUAUGCCUGGAAUGGUUUAUGUUCCGAAUGAUUUAUCGCCGUAGGAUGGGACUGCGGCCUAUCAGUUUGUUGGUGAGGUAAUGGCCCACCAAGACUAUUACAGGUACGGGCUCUGAGAGGAGUAGCCCGGAGAUGGGUACUGAGACACGGACCCAGGCCCUAUGGGGCGCAGCAGGCGAGAAAACUUUGCAAUGUGCGAAAGCACGACAAGGUUAAUCCGAGUGGUUUCUGCUAAAGAAACCUUUUGUCAGUCCUAGAAACACUGAUGAAUAAGGGGUGGGCAAGUUCUGGUGUCAGCG